AAACUGGCUACUCGGCACAGGACUUUGUAAAUGUUGUGACAAAUCGAAACGUGACAGAUCCUGGUCCUGGCUGAAAUUUAAAGUAUUACAGCUGUAGCUUCUAUACCAUAAAUUUAACAUGGAAAGGACUGUUCUUGGGAAAAUGCUGACGUAACUGAUGGGAGCAGUUUUUCUUACCAAUCAUAGAAGCAGUAGAAGUAUUCAAACACCAUCAUGACACACUUUAGACAUACCAAGAGAGCUCUAGAAGAAGAACUAGUGGUAGAUUGGAACAGAUUGUAGCUUAAUUGUUAAACUAAAAGGACUUCUUAAAUCGUUUGAAUUUUAGCUACACUUGAACUGUAGUUUUUAAAUAAAAUAGCUGAAGUAUUUAAUAGUGUCUUGAUUUUUUUUGUUAAACUCUGUUACGUACAGUACUUUGCUUUAUAUUUAUAUUAAAGUAUGUUGAAAUGACAU